UUACUGAACGAGAGAAGCUGGGAGCAAUUGCGGUCAGCUUGGGCAGCGAUGCAUUGUCGUGGCUGCAAUGGACUGAAGCCAGAACUCCCAUUUAGUCGUGGCAGCAAUUCAGGGAGCAGCUGCUAUUGCGAUUCCGGCCGAUGCAAGAGGGAAACCUUUGUGAGAAAUUUUUGGCCAUAAAACAAAGGGGGACGGUGGUAAAUUUCUGGCGGGAAUUUGAGGUGCUGGCUGCGCCUCUGAAGGGAAUUUCUGACGAAGUGCUACAGAACACCUUUGUUAAUGGGCUCAGGCUAGAAGGGCUGGGGUGAGGCUACUGGCCCAAAGGGUAUAGGCCCAAAUAUGGAAGUAGCCCAGAAGAUUGAGGAUUAGAGUCUGGUACUUAACAACUUUCAGCCCACAGCCCAUGAAUCAAUGGAACCCAAUUCAUCUCAAAUUCGAUCAGAGGCCAAGAUGCUCUAGACGUUCCCAACAAAAAUCAUCAUCAUGAAGGAGAAAACUUCCAGCAAUCAGAAUAUCCAGCCAAGCGUUUGACAGAUGCUGAUGCAAAUGAGGCGGGACAAGGGCUUGUGCUUCAAGUGUGAAGAGAAGUAACGGUGGGCCACCAAUGUCGAAAUCAUGAGCUCUGUGUGCUGUUGGUAGAAGGGGAUGGUGGAGAGGAAGAGAAAGAAGGAACUUACGGGCAAAUUGAGGAAAAAUCUGUAGAGGUGAAGAACACAAUAGAAUUGUCUCUUAACAAUGUGGUUGGGCUUUCUACACCGGGCACUAUGAAAUUGAAAGGUAAAAGCAGGCCGCAAGAAGUAACGAUAUUAAUUGAUUGUGGGGCGACCCACAAUUUUAUUUCACUAGAGUUGGUACAGAAACUGGGACCACCAACCAAGGCUACCACCAAUUAUGGCAUAAUAAUGGGUACGGGCCAACUUGUUAAGGGAAGGGGAAUUUGUAAAGGUGUAGUAGUUGAAGUGCAGGGGUUGACUAUCGUACAUAAUUUCCUACCGUUGGCGCUAGGUUGUGCUGAUGUAGUGCUAGGAAUGCAGUGGCUUCGAAGUUUGGGAGAUAUGGAGGUCAACUGGAAGGGGUUAACCAUGCAAUUUAGAAUGGGAGACAAAUAGUUUACUUUGAAGGGAGAUGCAAGUCUUCACAAGAUGGUGAUUUCCCUUAAAACCGUGGUAAAAACCUUACAUCCGGAGGAGGAAGACCGUCCAACAGUUGAAGCUUCAUGGGAAUCAGUUUAUUCUAGCCGGCGACGCCUUUCCGACAUCCACCUGAGGACCAGGUGUCUUUGGUACCCAAGGCUAAUGAUAGGCCACCAGUUCUAGAAGGGUCCAGAAGGAUUGAGAAAUAGGUGCAUCAACAUAUUUCUGCUACUAUGGCACGUGAGGGGAGGGAAUUCGUUAAGGAGUAGCUAUAAAUAAAGGAUAAUAUUAGUGUGUUUGUUGGCCAAUAUGGAAAGCUUCUUCAGGAAGGCAGUAUUUGUUGGUCAGAGGAUCCUGCAGAAGUUACCAUUGAGAAUCCAUAUGAUCUAGGUCUCUUACCAUGACAUGUUGAGAUACGGUCCCUUUGGCCUCCUUAUCCAUUGAUACAAACAAUUGUUCUCAGCAAUGUUUGGGGUCUCCUUCGAAGCUAACAUUAUUAUUGUAGUGGUAGACAAUUCUGUUUAUGGCUUGUUUCCUGUUCUUCUUGGUGCACAGGUAUAGAACACUAUCUAGAAAAUCCAAGGCACUUCCAUCUUCUUUAUGCAAUUCCAGAAUUGUGUUCUGUUAUGAAGGUUUUUGUGAUUGCGAUGGCAGUGUGUUAGGAACUUGGUGUUGGGAACCAAUAUAAACUUGAUCUUCUCAGAAAAGUUUCCUUAAGUAUGUACAUUUAUAAUUUAAGCGAUGACUAGUUCUGGAAACGAUUUAUCUAAAACAACUGAGAAUUCUGUAUCAAUGUUGUAUCAACAAUUUCAUUAUGUUUUUGUUCAUAAAGCAGAAUGACUCUACAUCGAGGCAUGACAGAAAUUGAAGUUAUAAAUAUUCCUGCCCUCCAGGUCUCUGACUUUUCGAACAAAGAAGAUUUUAUAAUAUGAAAUGAAUGUUACAUUUUCAAGGGGGGCCAAGUGGUUGAGAAAUCCUAGAGAAUCUAUCACUGUUGAACCUAAUAAAAGUUCCACGAAAAUAGUUUAUUUUAUCCAGCAGAUCGUGCAACUAACAGCAUCUGGUGAUGUUGAGGAAGCACUUGCUUUGUGCAAAUUACUUCCACCAGAAUAUUCAAGCCUUCGGGCCUCAAAGGAGCAGUCAAUCCCUAUAAAGUAGUUGUAUGCCCUUGUAACUUCUUGUUUCUCUUAUCCAAGUCUAUCUGGUGCACUUAACUUUUAAAAAAUUAACAUGAAGACUUGUGAGUUUCUAACCCACAUAUAAGUUUUGUGCAGUUUGAUCCAGUGAUGAGCACAUCUUAUUGAAUGAUCUACUUGCUGGCUGCACAAUAAUUUGGAAUUCGACAACUUUUAUUUUCACUUCUUGUAAUAGACUUGAGGAAAAAUGUUUUCAUGCAUAAUCACAUUGGCUUGACUCUAGGAUGAGAUGACCAAUGCCUUUGGUGUAGGUGUUUGGUCGUCUGGGCACCAAAGAGUUCAGCUUUAUUACGUUGCUAUAUCAAUCAUGUUGUAUUGUUUAAAUAAGGAACUCAAUACCAUUAGAAUUCUAAAGACGAGACCAACCUUUUCAGAUUAUUUUUAUUAGAACACCAAGACUGAAAGGAAUGAAUAAGAUAUAAUAACAUGUUGAAAGCAGUUGACCGUACAUCAAAUGGACUAGAGGAACUGAAUAUUUGGAACAAACUUCAAAAUUUCAUUCUAAUGCUUUGUCCAAUUGUUGGGUUCAUUAUAAAUCUUUAGAGUGAUAAUUCUUUAAAUUGAAACACGUGUUGGACUGAAUACCAACAGAGAAAAGUUUGCUAAAAUUAACAUUAUAUGUUCAUGUAGAAAGAAGCAUGUUCCUUAUGAUUUCUUCUGGAUGAUAAUUGAAUAUCUACAUACAAACCCAUGGUUGAUGGUUUUGAGCCCUAGAUUCCUUCAACUAGAGCUGCAAGAACCUAAUUUAGGAUGAAACUGAUCUGAAGAUCAGAAAACAUAAGAUGCUGGCAUUGGGAAAUUACAAUAGCGACUGAGGUCUUUUGAGUUGAUAUUUUGUGAAUACUGCUAGACAGGAACUUAAGUAUGUGGAAUAUAUCUCUAUCCCACAACUAUGUCAUUGAUAACUUCAUUAUUUUUUCUAUUUUGGAUUCUCUCCUAUGGGCGUAGAAGAGAUGUCGAACCACCAGCUUCCGAAACUGAUCUGACGACUCAUAUAGAAUAUCUUCCGUGAAGCUAUUCAAACCGAAACCAUGUGUAUAUUCUCUUUCUUGUUUCUGGAAAAUGGGAAGAUGGUGCUAGUAAAGUAAUUAAUCGUGCUUAGUUGUGUAGGCUGAAGUAUUGUAUUUAUCCUAUGCUAUAAUUCUAAGAGGUCUGCAGGCUAAGUACGAGGGAAUAUGACAAGCUAGCAAGAUAGUUACUGCAUUGCUUUGUAUACACUUGAGGCAAAAAGUAUUGCUGAAACUGACAAAAUUUGUUUACUUUUUCCAAAGGUUUCUGUGCUUACCAAGAACAUCUGAAAUCUCAAGAAUAGUUCCUAGUAAUGUGGGAAAACCUAACAAAGUAUAUCUCCAAUGCCUAUUAAUGCAGUGUUGCAAACUACGAUAGAUUAAAUGGCAUAAACCAGUUUCUAAUUUUUUGAGAACAUAGAAAGAGAGAAAGAAUCACAAUAACCGUGUGCUAUGUUGAUUUAAGAGAGUAUAAAAGCGCUGAGAUGCUAAAUGGUCGGAGAACAGAUACAGUUGUCUGACUUCAUUUUCUGUGUAUGUUCUAAGCUAGACAUCUGUAAAGUAAGCAUGUAUGUAAUGUUCCUGGAACUUAUUCCAUAUGUAAAAGUUUGUGAUGUUGAACUAUUGUGCACGUACGGAUAUGCUUACUAUUUGUUUGAAAAUGGAAACUAUGAGGAGUCAAAUGUUCUCUCAUUUUAUCCAUCUAUCAUACUACCAAAAUCAUCUGUGAUUCCUGAACCAGAGAAGUACACGGAUAUCACUGGGGAGGUUCCAGAUCUUUCAAGAGGUUCCUCUGUCAUGUCAGAUGAUAUGGAAUGUUGCUGGAACUUAUUGCAUAUUAAAAGGUUGUGAUGUUGAACUAUUGUGCAUGUAAAGAUACGCUUACUAUUUGUUUGAAAAUGGAAACUAUGAGGAGGCAAUGGAACAUUUUUUAGCAUCUCAAGUGGAAAUCACUUAUAUUCUCUCAUUUUUUUCAUCUAUCAUCAUACUACCAAAAUCAUCUGUGAUGCCUGAACCAGAGAAGUACACAGAUAUCAUUGUGGAGGUUCCAGAUCUUUCAAGAGGUUCCUCUGGCAUCUCAGAUAAUAUGGAAUCUUCAACUUCACUGCAUGUAUUGGACUCUGAGGAGAUGGCAGAUCUUGAAUUGAAAAAAAUGAGCCACAAUACUCCAAUGGCUCUCGUUAAGUUUUUGCAGAAGAAGAGAUCCAGCAUUAUUGAGAAAGCGACUGCCGAGGGAACUGAGGAGGUUGUUUCUAAUACUAUCGGAAAUGAUUUUGUAGCUUAUGGAACUAAUCGCUCAAAGAAAGCAGGGAAGGGAUGAUCAAAUAUUCCCAUCAGUUCAGUUGCUAGGGAUAUGGCAGCUAUGCUGGACGCUACUUUGCUUCAGGCUUUUGUUUUAACUGGACAAUUUUCAGCUGCAUUGAAACUUCUGAACGGUCUUAAUUACUGAGACACUGAGACGUAAAAACAUUCCAGGAAUUUCUACCAAAAAGAAUCAGUAUGUGUGUCUGCUAGAACUUUACAAAUGCAAUGCAUCGUGAAGCUCUCAAGCUUCUCCAUAAAUUAGUUGAAGACUCAAAUUCGGACCAUCCACUGCCGGAGCUCACCCAGAAGUUCAAGCCCGAGAUGCUUAUUGAAUAUCUCAAAGUGAGAUUUGACUUAUACUAAUUGACCAUUUAUUGUGUUAUAUCUUGGUGA